UGGACUGAUGAUGACAGUGAGGUGGGAAAGCGUGGGGAACCAACCGGAUUAGAUUCCCUGGUUAUUCCCCCCGGUAAAGAAGUCAGAUAGCCGGUGGAAUCCUUGAGAUUUUGGUGGCGCAGCUAACGCAGUUAAUUGGCCCCCUGGGGAGUACGGCCCCCAGGUUAAAAAUCAAAUGAAUUGACGGGGGCCCGCCCAAGCGGGGGAGCAUGUGGUUUAAUUUGAAGCAACGGGAAGAACCUUUCCAGGCCUUGACAUGCAGAGAACUUUCCAGAGAAGGAUUGGGGCCUUUGGGAACUUUGACACAGGUGGUGCAUGGCCGUUGUCAGCUUGUGUCUUGAGAAGUUGGGUUAAGUCCCGUAACGAGGGCAACCCUUUUCCUUAGUUACCAGCCGGUUAUGGUGGGCACUCUAAGGAGACUGCCGGUGACAAACCGGAGGAAGGUGGGGAUGACGUCAAGUCAUCAUGGCCCUUACGGCUUGGGCUACACACGUGCUACAAUGGUCGGUACAAAGGGUAGCCACCCCGCGAGGUCAAGCUAAUCUCACAAAACCGAUCGUAGUCCGGAUCGCAGUCUGCAACUCGACUCCGUGAAGUCGGAAUCGCUAGUAAUCGCGAAUCAGAAUGUCGCGGUGAAUACGUUCCCGGGCCUUGUACACACCGCCCGUCACACCAUGGGGAAGUGGGUUGCACACAAGAAGUAAGGUAGUCUAAC
rnacentral:rRNA from 1 species